GGAACGGUUGGCAACCCUACUCCCACCCCUGACAAAGUUUUCAAAUCCAGUAACUUCAACUAUUACUUUUCUGCUUGUGUGAGCUGUCCAAACUCUGCCAUCAUCAUAUCCAAGGCGUUAUGAUGUGAGGACUGCUGCCCUGAGAACGCUGAGUGCAUAUGUUUAAAAAAAAAAGAGCCCAGAAUUAGUUUUUAUUUUCAUUAGGUGAAUCUGGUCAUGUUUGCAAUAAUCUGGUCAUGUUUGCAGUAAAGAUGGGGGAAACAACAGUCGGGAUUGGAUUGUGAUUUAUUGUUAAUCUGACUGUAAGGUGUCCAGAAGGUAGGAACCUGUUCCAGUUAAUUUUACUGAAGCUUCAUUUGGCUCGGCAGCAGAUUUAAAGUGGAAAUGUAUGUCUUGGUAUGCAUUUCCAGUUACCAUCUGCUGGUGAGAAAGUCAAAUAAAGCUAUAGGAAAAUGAACUGGAACAGCAUGCCAUCUUCUGAAAUGGGACUGUCGUGUAUGCAUGGUAUAUGUGCAGCUUAUUGCUAUGCAUGUUACACUGUUUUUGCUGUUACCUGCUGUGUAUUUUAACAUUUGGGUUAAUGGACUCCUUGAGUGGCUGUGUAUUGGACUGACUAGGGACACCUGGAGAGGACUGAUGGGAUGUAAUAGACUGAUUUUGUGCACCUGUGAAGGGGGAGGGGUUCAUUCACAUUGGUUGAUUAAACACUUGCUUUCACCUGGCCUGGUGCUUUAUAUGAGCUUGCGAGGUGACCGGCAGGAGGGGGCCUUGAGAGGGAGAUGCGACAGCAACUGGCACAACGGCAGAGAGCCCACCAUCAACGCAAGCUAAGUACCCUCUUAAGGGAAGUUAUAUUUCUGUAGCCCUACUUGCUAUGCGUUAGUAAGUUGGUAGACAAAGUGGCUGGUGGCUCAUAAAUGUUUGUUGUCCGUUGCAGCUCAGGUUUACAUCAGCCGAGCAACAACGCGAUCUGGGGGAAUGCUGGAAGUGCCAAUGAACACCGCCGGAUGUAACGUUGACUGUGUCUGCUGAACAACCGAAGUACAUUCAGGGAAGGAUCCGCCCUGAUUUGGACUUGUGGAUGACCUGGCGCCGACAGUGCAGUACCGGCUACAUCGGAGCGCGUCCUGUGGACUAUUCUUUUAAAAAGCCGACCAGCGGACAUUCCUUUGUGUUGUGUCUGUUGUCUACGUGACUCGUCAGCCCAGCUGUAAACGCAGAGUGGACAGAAGACGUUGGUUGGGGGUGCUUGCG